AUUGAACGCUGGCGGCAGGCCUAACACAUGCAAGUCGAGCGGAUGAAGGGGGCUUGCUCCUGGAUUCAGCGGCGGACGGGUGAGUAAUGCCUAGGAAUCUGCCUGGUAGUGGGGGAUAACGUCCGGAAACGGGCGCUAAUACCGCAUACGUCCUGAGGGAGAAAGUGGGGGAUCUUCGGACCUCACGCUAUCAGAUGAGCCUAGGUCGGAUUAGCUAGUUGGUGGGGUAAAGGCCUACCAAGGCGACGAUCCGUAACUGGUCUGAGAGGAUGAUCAGUCACACUGGAACUGAGACACGGUCCAGACUCCUACGGGAGGCAGCAGUGGGGAAUAUUGGACAAUGGGCGAAAGCCUUAUCCAGCCAUGCCGCGUGUGUGAAGAAGGUCUUCGGAUUGUAAAGCACUUUAAGUUGGGAGGAAGGGCAGUAAGUUAAUACCUUGCUGUUUUGACGUUACCAACAGAAUAAGCACCGGCUAACUUCGUG
rnacentral:rRNA from 1 species